GGUCAUAGCUCAGUGGUAGAGCAUCUGCCUUGCAUGCAGAACGUCCCAGGUUCAAUCCCCAGGUAGGGCUG